AUUGAUCGCUGGCGGUAGGCCUAACACAUGCAAGUCGAACGAGUGGCGGACGGGUGAGGAAUACAUCGGAAUCUACUCUGUCGCGGGGGCUAACGUCGGGAAACUUACGCUAAUACCGCAUACGAUCGACUGAGCCGAUGUCGGAUUAGCUAGUUGUCGGGGUAACGGCCCACCAAGGCGACGAUCCGUAGCUGGUCUGAGAGGAUGAUCAGCCACACUGGAACUGAGUCACGGUCCAGACUCCUACGGGAGGCAGCAGUGGGGAAUAUUGGACAAUGGGCGCAAGCCUGAUCCAGCCAGACCGCGUGGGUGAAGAAGGCCUUCGGGUUGUAAAGCCCUUUUUUUGGGAAAGCGGUACCCAAAGAAUUAGCACCGGCUAACUUCGUGCCAGCAGCCGCGGUAAUUC
rnacentral:rRNA from 1 species